rnacentral:rRNA from 1 species
AAAUUGAAGAGUUUGAUCAUGGCUCAGAUUGAACGCUGGCGGCAGGCCUAACACAUGCAAGUCGAACGGUAACACAGAGAGCUUGCUCUCGGGUGACGAGUGGCGGACGGGUGAGUAAUGUCUGGGAAACUGCCUGAUGGAGGGGGAUAACUACUGGAAACGGUGGCUAAUACCGCAUAACGUCGCAAGACCAAAGAGGGGGACCUUCGGGCCUCUUGCCAUCAGAUGUGCCCAGAUGGGAUUAGCUUGUUGGUGAGGUAACGGCUCACCAAGGCGACGAUCCCUAGCUGGUCUGAGAGGAUGACCAGCCACACUGGAACUGAGACACGGUCCAGACUCCUACGGGAGGCAGCAGUGGGGAAUAUUGCACAAUGGGCGCAAGCCUGAUGCAGCCAUGCCGCGUGUAUGAAGAAGGCCUUCGGGUUGUAAAGUACUUUCAGCGGGGAGGAAGGUGUUGUGGUUAAUAACCGCAGCAAUUGACGUUACCCGCAGAAGAAGCACCGGCUAACUCCGUGCCAGCAGCCGCGGUAAUACGGAGGGUGCAAGCGUUAAUCGGAAUUACUGGGCGUAAAGCGCACGCAGGCGGUCUGUCAAGUCGGAUGUGAAAUCCCCGGGCUCAACCUGGGAACUGCAUUCGAAACUGGCAGGCUUGAGUCUUGUAGAGGGGGGUAGAAUUCCAGGUGUAGCGGUGAAAUGCGUAGAGAUCUGGAGGAAUACCGGUGGCGAAGGCGGCCCCCUGGACAAAGACUGACGCUCAGGUGCGAAAGCGUGGGGAGCAAACAGGAUUAGAUACCCUGGUAGUCCACGCCGUAAACGAUGUCUACUUGGAGGUUGUGCCCUUGAGGCGUGGCUUCCGGAGCUAACGCGUUAAGUAGACCGCCUGGGGAGUACGGCCGCAAGGUUAAAACUCAAAUGAAUUGACGGGGGCCCGCACAAGCGGUGGAGCAUGUGGUUUAAUUCGAUGCAACGCGAAGAACC